rnacentral:lncRNA from 1 species
UUUAUCAGCAAUAAUAAAACCAAAGAAUAUGUUUGGUAGAAGACUAUCUUAGGAUAAAAGUAGGUAAGAACUACAAAUUUAACAGAAUUAUUAACUGUGAAAAAAAUACAAAGGAGUAACCAAACGGGAAAAGGCUAGAUAAUUGGCACCACAUUUCAAUUAGGAAGAUGAACAGAUGUAUUACAGUGUAUUAAAUACAUGUAGAAGGCUCCCGUUCUUUCUCAAGAGGGAAAAAAAUCU